UUUCCCCAUUCUCUGCAAUGGAGGCGUCAUCAGACCCUUUUUCCGCUGUGUCUUUUGUAUUUGCACAAUUGGAACAACGACCAAAGUCAGUGCAACACAGUCCUGCAGAGAAACAGGAACAAAAACCAGCUCGCAGACGUUGCGCAGGGUGGGAUUGUGAAACACCAGCUGAGGGAAAUCACGAGUCAGCCUCUUCUUCAACGUAUCCUUUCUGCAACACAACGAAACAGUGACAAUUAAGAGUCACAUGAGUACCAUCAAAAACAGAGAGAGGUGGAGGUGUUUCAAGACUUUACAGUAGGGCUGUGCAAUAUUUCGAAUUUUGAUCACGAUUUCGAUGCUUGGGUCAAACGAUCACUAAAUUAAUAAAAUCGAUUUGGAACGAUUCCUUUGGAAUUUUCCGUUUUCUGUGAGGUCUUGUUAAAGAGACGCACAUGCGCAAUUCAGUCCCUCCCCCAGAGCGUUCAACGCGCCCCCGCGAGCUGUGUGUGUGUGGUGACCUUAUUCAGAAAACAGCACGAGCGAGAUGGCAGAGGGAGGACAGCCACGUUUACUCGAUAAAAAGGGUAGAAACGAUCUCUCUAAUAUGGCAACACUACGGAUUCGAAGAAGCCGACGAGGCACAGGCCCACAUAAUGUGCAAAAUGUGCUACAAUGUUAUAUCUGCACCGCUCGGAAACACGACAAACUUGUUUAAUCACCUAAGGCCCUGUCCACACUAACCCGGAUAAAUCUACAAAUGCAUAAAUAUUGAUCCGUAAAAUAAUCGUUUGAAGAAUCGUGAUUCUCAUUUUUUCCAAAAUCGAGCAGCCCUACCUUCUACAGUGUGUCCCCAGGUGGAGGAGGGUCCUCAGACACACUGACACACCUCCACACCUUCUACAGAGUGUCCCCAGGUGGAGGAGGGUCCUCAGACACACUGACACACCUCCACACCUUCUACAGAGUGUCCCCAGGUGGAGGAGGGUC
ensembl:lncRNA